UACGGAGGAUGCGAGCGUUAUCCGGAUUUAUUGGGUUUAAAGGGUGCGUAGGCGGACAAAUAAGUCAGUGGUGAAAACCUGCAGCUUAACUGUAGAUGUGCCGUUGAUACUGUUAGUCUUGAGUGUGGUCAAGGUAGGCGGAAUGUGUAAUGUAGCGGUGAAAUGCUUAGAUAUUACACAGAACACCGAUUGCGAAGGCAGCUUGCUGGGCCAUUACUGACGCUGAUGCACGAAAGCGUGGGGAUCGAACAGG
rnacentral:rRNA from 1 species